GGAGUAUGGGCCGUGUCUCAGUCCCAUUGUGGCUGAUCAUCCUCUCAAACCAGCUACUGAUCGUCGCCUUGGUGGUCCAUUACACCCCCAACUAGCUAAUCAGAUGCAGACUCAUCCCAGAGCACCGGAGUUUUCAAGAAUACCAUUCCAGGUACGCUCAUAUGGGGUAUUAAUCACCGUUUCCAAUGGCUAUCCCCCACUCUAGGGCAGAUUCUCUACACAUUACUCACCCGUCCGCCACUUUCCAUUACCCGAAGGUAACUUCUCGUUCGACUUGCAUGUAUGAAGCACGCCGCCAGCGUUCGUC
rnacentral:rRNA from 1 species